rnacentral:rRNA from 1 species
AGUUUGAUUCUGGUCUCAGAUUGAACGCUGGCGGGAUGCUUUACAUGCAAGUCGAACGGGCAGCACGGACUUCGGUCUGGUGGCGAGUGGCGAACGCGGAGGGAAUGUAUCGGAACGUGCCUAGUAGCGGGGAUAACUACGUGAAAGCGUAGCUAAUACCGCAUACGCCCUUCGGGGGAAAGCGGGGACCUUCGGGCCUCGCACCACAGAGCGGCCGAUAUCAGCUAGUUGGUGGGGUAACGGCUCACCAAGGCGACGAUCCGUAGCUGGUUUGAGAGGACGACCAGCCACACUGGGACUGAGACACGGCCUGACUCCUACGGAGGCAGCAGUGGGGAAUUUUGGACAAUGGGGAAACCCUGAUCCAGCCAUCCGCGUAAAGUGCGAUGAAGGCCUUCGGGUUGUAAAGCACCUGGCAGUGAAAGAAACGGCACGGGAUAAUACCCUGUGCAACUGACGGUACCUGCAGAAUAAGCACCGGCCAACUACGUGCCAGCAGCCGCGGUAAUACGUAGGUGCAAGCGUUAAUCGGAAUUACUGGGCGCAAGCGUGCGCAGGCGGUUCGGAAAGAAAGAUGAAAUCCCAGAGCUUAACUUUGGAACUGUGCAUUUUUAACUACCGAGCUAGAGUGUGUCAGAGGGAGGUGGAAUUCGCGUAGCAGUGAAAUGCGUAGAUAUGCGGAGGAACACCGAUGGCGAAGGCAGCCUCCUGGGAUAACACUGAGCUCAUGCACGAAAGCGUGGGGAGCAAUGUGAUUAGAUACCCUGGUAGUCCACGCCCUAAACGAUGUCAACUAGCUGUUGGGGCCUUCGGGCCUUGGUAGCGCAGCUAACGCGUGAAGCUGACCGCCUGGGAGUACGGUCGCAAGAUUAAAACUCAAAGGAAUUGACGGGGACCUGCACAAGCGGUGGAUGAUGUGGGGAUUAAGUCUGAUGCAACGCAGCAAACCCGGCCUACCCUUUAUAUGUCUGAAUCCCGAAGAGAUUUGGGAGUGCUCGCAAGAGAACCGAACACAGGUGCUGCAGAUGGCUGGUUUGUCAGCUCGUGUCGUGAGAUGUUGGGUUAAGUCCCGCAACGAGCGCAACCCUUGUCAUUAGUUACGAAAGGGCACUCCAUCGAGACUGCCGGGUGACAAACCGGCAAAGGUGGGGAUGACGUCAAGUCCUCAUGGCCCUUAUGUAGGUCAAUGCCAUACAAUGGUCGUGGGACAGAGGGUCGCCAACCCCGCGAGGGAGCCAAUCCCAGAAACCCGAUCAGUCCGAUCGUAGUCUGCAACUCGAUCAGGCGAAGUCGGAAUCGCUAGUAAUCGCGGAUCAGCAUGUCGCGGUGAAUACGUUCCCGGGUCUUGUACGCACCGCCCGUCACACCAUGGGAGUGGGUUUUACCAGAAGUAGUUAGCCUAACCGUAAGGAGGGCGAUUACCACGGUAGGAUUCAUGACUGGGAAGCUUCAACAAGGUAG